rnacentral:rRNA from 1 species
AUGCAACUGACGCUGAAGCGCGAAAGUGUGGGGAGCAAACAGGAUUAGAUACCCUGGUAGUCCACACUGUAAACGAUGAAUGCUAGGUGUAAGAGGUAUCGACCCCUUUUGUGCCGGAGUUAACACAAUAAGCAUUCCGCCUGGGGAGUACGGCCGCAAGGUUGAAACUCAAAGGAAUUGACGGGGGCCCGCACAAGCAGCGGAGCAUGUGGUUUAAUUCGACGCAACGCGAAGAACCUUACCAGGUCUUGACAUCCACUUAAAGCGGUAGAGAUACCGUGUGUGCUUGCACGAAGUGAGACAGGUGGUGCAUGGUUGUCGUCAGCUCGUGUCGUGAGAUGUUGGGUUAAGUCCCGCAACGAGCGCAACCCUUGCUGAUAGUUACUAACGAGUAAAGUUGAGGACUCUAUCAGGACUGCCGGGGACAACUCGGAGGAAGGUGGGGACGACGUCAAAUCAUCAUGCCCCUUAUGACCUGGGCUACACACGUGCUACAAUGGCCGUUACAGAGAGGAGCGAAGGAGCAAUCCGGAGCAGAUCUCAAAAAAGCGGUCCCAGUUCGGAUUGUGGGCUGCAACCCGCCCACAUGAAGUCGGAGUG